rnacentral:rRNA from 1 species
AGGUGGUGGCAUGGUUGUCGUCAGCUCGUGUCGUGAGAUGUUGGGUUAAGUCCCGCAACGAGCGCAACCCCUAUUGUUAGUUGCCAUCAUUCAGUUGGGCACUCUAGCGAGACUGCCGGUAAUAAACCGGAGGAAGGUGGGGAUGACGUCAAAUCAUCAUGCCCCUUAUGACCUGGGCUACACACGUGCUACAAUGGUUGGUACAACGAGUUGCGAGUCGGUGACGGCGAGCUAAUCUCUUAAAGCCAAUCUCAGUUCGGAUUGUAGGCUGCAACUCGCCUACAUGAAGUCGGAAUCGCUAGUAAUCGCGGAUCAGCACGCCGCGGUGAAUACGUUCCCGGGCCUU